AAGACUAUACUUUCAGAGAUCAUUUCUACAGUUCAGAAGUUUCUCUGAGUAAGUGAGCACCAGAAGCCAAGAGAAGGCAGUGUUCUCUUGUGAGUGUGAAACUGGCUAUUAGUUGCUUGACUGCAACUGCCAUUUGCCAUUGAUGAUCAUUCUUCUCUCCCUUUGGGGGAGCAAGAGGGAGAGGAUACAGUAUGUGUGGU
rfam:Otolemur garnettii contig038274, whole genome shotgun sequence.